AGCGACGCUGGCGGCAGGCCUAAAACAUGCAAGUCGAACGGAUCCUUCGGGAUUAGUGGCGGACGGGUGAGUAACACGUGGGAACGUGCCUUUUGGUUCGGAACAACUCAGGGAAACUUGAGCUAAUACCGAAUGUGCCCUUCGGGGGAAAGAUUUAUCGCCAUUAGGAGCGGCCCGCGUCUGAUUAGCUUGUUGGUGAGGUAAAGGCUCACCAAGGCGACGAUCAGUAGCUGGUCUGAGAGGAUGAUCAGCCACACUGGGACUGAGACACGGCCCAGACUCCUACGGGAGGCAGCAGUUAGGAAUCUUGCGCAAGUGGGGGAAACCCUGACGCAGCCAUGCCGCGUGAAUGAUGAAGGUCUUAGGAUUGUAAAAUUCUUUCAGCGGGGACGAUAAUGACGGUACCCGCAGAAGAAGCCCCGGCUAACUUCGUG
rnacentral:rRNA from 1 species